GUCGAACGCUGGCGGCGUGCUUAACACAUGCAAGUCGAGCGGAGCGGCAGACGGGUACGUAAUGGCUAUGAAUCUGCAUGGGACUGGGGGAUAACGUUCGGAAACGGGAGCUAAUACCGAAUACUCUCACAUGCGCCUAGGUCGGAUUAGCUAGUGGGUGGGGUAAAGGCCUACCAAGGCGACGACCCGUACCUGGUCUGAGAGGAUGAUCAGUCACACUGGAACUGAGACACGGUCCAGACUCCUACGGGAGGCAGCAGUGGGGAAUAUUGGACAAUGGGCGAAAGCCUGAUCCAGCCAUGCCGCGUGUGUGAAGAAGGUCUUCGGAUUGUAAAGCACUUUAAGUUGGGAGGCGUUACCAACAGAAUAAGCACCGGCUAACUUCGUGCCAGCAGCCGCGGUAAUAC
rnacentral:rRNA from 1 species